GUCAGAUGCUAUAAUUUAUAUUAUUCCGCUGAGCUCUAUAUAUGUCAACUGUUGAAGCACUAUGCAUAAAAAACACAUUAACUGAUCAAAUUGGUCUUGGCCAUCUUAUCUCAAAGCACGAAAUGUUCUGUUUUGAGAAAACAGUAUUUAAAACAUUUAAACUUUUGCUUGAAUAUCUUAUAUUUCGAAAAACAGUAUAACUGUACGGUCUAAAUUUAGUUUGCACGGUCUAAAUUUAGUUUGCACGAAAGUUGUAAACAACACCAUAUAAGGAUAGACAUUCCAUAUUUGGAAAAACGAACGUUACGGG